AGACUCUAUCAUAUCUCUCUUUAUAAAAUUGAGUUUCUUCAUAAAAAUUUUUGAAGAACACAGAGAUUUGAGAGACCUUUGGGGUAUCCAAAAAUCAGAGAGAAAGAUCUUUGGAUCGUGGAGAUAUAAUAGACACAAGAUAGGAUGUCUAGGAGAGAGAAAAGAGAAGAAGAAGAGGGUCUUCUUCUAGGGUUGUUAGUUUCAUCUCUUUUCUUUCUCCAUCUUGAGUUUUCUGAGAGUGUCUCAAAUCUAAAACUCCUCCUCCUACUUCUCAUCUUUGGAAGAGCCCAAAUCAAGAAGAAGGAAGCACCU
rnacentral:lncRNA from 1 species